AUAAGCUUAAAAGGAAAUAAAAGAAAAUACUGCUUGUUUUGAAGGUUAUUUUUAUGGUACGAGUCACUUCCAAAAGUUAGCAGAUAUGUACAUGGUUCAGUAAAUGGAAGUUUAGUCAGAAAGACUAGCUCUUGAUGCUAUUCCCUGCUUGGUACCUUUCAGAAUCAUGCCUCAGAUGAACUCAUCUUCUGUUGUGAAGAAGAUGGCCACCUUGACGUUGUCUUAGAGUGGAAGUGCUGGCGCUAGCCAAGAGCAAACUUGAACAGGUCUGUGGUUGCACCUGCUGCUUGCUCGAGCAGAGGCCACUAUGUGUCCCAUGGCUCCUGAUGGAGGGGAUUCUGCCUUGGUCGAGGCCCUGGAGUUACCCAUCUGCUUUAUGAACCAGAAGCCAUAAUGGACCCAUGUGGACAGAUGGCACCAUAUUCUGUGGGCCUUGGCUCUGUUUGUUCCGCAAUUGAGAAAGAAUUGACACUGGCCACAGGCAGGUCGAGUCCUGGAGUCUCCUGUCAGUGUCUUGAAUUGUGAAGGGCGGCCUCCCCCAGCUAGGGCCAUGGAGCACCAUGUGAGUAACAGUCGAGUCCUGUUCUGAGAGAGUUCAGUCGCCAUCGGUCCAGUCAUGCUCAGAGCAGUGUCUGAGGCAGGUCAUCUUGUGGGGUGGACUUGAACUAAAAAUUAAAAUGGUGGAUGGAGAAUGAUAAACAAACAAACAAACAAUCCAACUAACAUCAAUAAAGAAAUAGUGGUAGGGAGGGAAAAGGUUUUCUUGCAAGGUCAAAGUUUUGAGGGGGUGUGAGUUGCUCCUUCUCUGCUGAAGAGAAAAUGAGCCUACUGAGUAGAGAAACCUCAGGUCCAUCUCGCUCAAAGAAGGGGCACACCCCUUUGGGAUCGUGAGAGAGUCACAUGACAUCACCCUGUCUGUAUGUAGUGAGGGGCUCUGCUGACACCCCAAGGAGCAUGACUGGAGAGCGACCCCAUGAUCAGAUCAAUGAUGGCGACAAAGGCAUCUUCUGACUCCCCGUCAUGAUCAGAGGUGGAAAUCUGAGGUCUGCCUCGACACUCAUGGAGCGUCUCUGUGCCGCGACCCUUUGAGCUCACCUCGUGCUCUCCCCUUUCCUCCUCAGCCCGGGGGCAGAACCCGAAUGAGUCGAGGGCCCUCCUGUGCUCAUAGUUGUUGCCAUGGUGUCCUCCUGUGAUGGACAUGGCUUACCAUACUGGCCACAGGCAGGUCGAGUCCUGGAGUCUCCUGUCAGUGUCUUGAGUUGUGAAGGGCGGCCUCCCCCAGCUAGGGCCAUGGAGCACCAUCCCGGGGGCAGAACCCGAAUGAGUCGAGGGUCCUCCUGUACUCAUAGUUGUUGCCAUGGGGUCUUCCUGUGAUGGACAUGCCCUACCAUGUGCCCCUCUGAGCUGACCUUCUGGUCACCUCUUUACUCCUCAGACUGGCCACAGGCAAGUCAAGUCUGGAGCUUCCUGUCAGUGUCUUGAGUUGGCAAGGGCAGCCUCCCCCAGCUAGGGCCAGGGAGCACCAUGUGAGUAAAACAGAGUCUCCAUACUUCCAGGGUUUGGGGUGGUCCAGUCAUGCUUCCCUGUCAUGGCAACUUCCGUGUCACCAUUUGGUGAUGAAAGUCACUGGGAUCAGUGAGCUCAGUGAAGAGAGGACUUCGUGAGGGGCACGGAAUGAUGGCCUGAGCUGUUGAUGAGGGACAAUCAGCAUUCUCAGAAUGGACCAUUCAGGGUCCAGUCUCAUAAAUGGGAAUGGAAAACACUGGAUUAGAUGUGCUGGGUAAACAUCCAAUAAAUUAUCAAUGAAUGCUGAUUCCCUUAACUGAUAACAGACAAGCAUGACUUGGAAACUGAUAUUGUGGAUCUGUGAUGACAUUGCAUGCCGGAUAAGUCACCCAUGAUCAAUAACUGUCUGAAAUUCUGAGAUUCAACAAAAGAAAAAUGUAGGAUUUGUUCAUAGAGGUGCUGCUGUGAGCUGAACUUCCAGUCUCGUCUUUACUCCUCAGACUGGCAACAGAGAAGUGGAGCCAAGGAGAAACCUGUCAGUCCCUUGUGUUGGAAAGGGGACCCAACCAUAAAGGGACAUGGCCUACCAUACUGGCCACAGGCAGGUCGAGUCCUGGAGUCUCCUGUCAGUGUCUUGAGUUGUGAAGGGCGGCCUCCCCCAGCUAGGGCCAUGGAGCACCAUCCCGGGGGCAGAACCCGAAUGAGUCGAGGGCCCUCCUGUGCUCAUAGUUGUUGCCAUGGCGUUCUCCUGUGAUGGACAUGCCCUACCAUGUG